AAGAAGUGUUACCGGUGCUGGACCAUGUAUAAGUCUCCUGGAAUGGAGUGUCGCAGAGGGUGAGAAUCCCGUGUUUGACAUGGACCGCCAGCGCGUUGUGGUACGCUCUCAAAGAGUCGAGUUGUUUGGGAAUGCAGCUCUAAAUGGGUGGUAAACUCCAUCUAAAGCUAAAUAUUGGCGAGAGACCGAUAGCGAACAAGUACCGUGAGGGAAAGAUGAAAAGGACUUUGGAAAGAGAGUUAAACAGUAUGUGAAAUUGUUGAAAGGGAAACGCUUGAAGUCAGUUAUGUCGGGUAGGGAUCAGCCUGGCAGAUUGCUGGGUGAAUUGCCUAGUCUGGCAGGCCAACGUCAGUUUCGACUGGUAGAAAAGAGCAUAGGGAAUGUGGCACCCUUGGGUGUGUUAUAGCCUUGUGUCAUAUGUGGCAGUCGGGACUGAGGAACGCAGCGCGCCGAUCCGGCAGGGUUUCGACCACGUUCGCGCUUAGGAUGUUGGCAUUUAAUGGCUUCAAUCGACCCGUCUUGAAACACGGACCAAGGAGUCUAACAUGGGUGCGAGUGUUUGGGUGGUUAAAACCCUUUGCGCGCAACGAAACGUGAAAAUUUGAGAUCCCCUGUCGGCGGGGGAGCAUCCGACGCCCCAGACCUUGAGGCUUUUCAACCGAGGGGAUCUUGCCGGUAC
rnacentral:rRNA from 1 species